rnacentral:rRNA from 1 species
CCUACGGGCGGCAGCAGUAGGGAAUAUUGCUCAAUGGGGGAAACCCUGAAGCAGCAAAGCAGCGUGGAGGAUGAAGGCUCUAGGAUUGUUAAACCCUUUUGAUAGGGAAGAUAAUGACGGUAUCUAACCAAUAUUCACCGUCUAAUACCGUGACAGCAGCCGCGGUAAUAUGGAGGCUGCCAGCGUUACUCGGAAUAACUGGGCGUAAAGAGCGCGUAGGCGGGAUAGAAAGUCAGAUGUGAAACCCUAUGGCUUAACCUUAGAACUGCAUUUGAUACUGUGAUUCUUGAGUUGGGGAGAGGUAGGUGGAAUUCGUGGUGUAGCGGUAAAAUCCUUAGAGAUCAAGAGGAAUACUCAUUGCGAAGGCGACUUGCUAGACCAUAACUGACGCUGAUGCGCGAAAGCGUGGGGAUCAAACAGGAUUAGAUACCCGAGUAGUC